ACGACCUUACUUGAACAGGAUCUGUUCUAUAGGAUCGUACUACUGUGUUCUUGAUUUCUAAGGAGACAGGAACAUACGUCUGGUGGAUGAAUUAUGACUGUGUGAUUAGAGCGUGAUUAAUGGUGAGGAUGAUCUCUAAGUUAUAGGCAUCAUCUUUGACUGUAGAGGAUCGUUCUCGGCCAGUUCUACUGACCGGGAUGGUCACACGGUUGUCUGACAGACU